rnacentral:rRNA from 1 species
AGUGAACGCUGGCGGUAGGCCUAACACAUGCAAGUCGAACGGCAGCACAGUAAGAGCUUGCUCUUACGGGUGGCGAGUGGCGGACGGGUGAGGAAUACAUCGGAAUCUACUUUUUCGUGGGGGAUAACGUAGGGAAACGUACGCUAAUACCGCAUACGACCUACGGGUGAAAGCAGGGGAUCUUCGGACCUUGCGCGAUUGAAUGAGCCGAUGUCGGAUUAGCUAGUUGGCGGGGUAAGGGCCCACCAAGGCGACGAUCCGUAGCUGGUCUGAGAGGAUGAUCGGCCACACUGGAACUGAGACACGGUCCAGACUCCUACGGGAGGCAGCAGUGGGGAAUAUUGGACAAUGGGCGCAAGCCUGAUCCAGCCAUACCGCGUGGGUGAAGAAGGCCUUCGGGUUGUAAAGCCCUUUUGUUGGGAAAGAAAAGCAGCAGGUUAAUACCCCGCUGUUCUGACGGUACCCAAAGAAUAAGCACCGGCUAACUUCGUG